rnacentral:rRNA from 1 species
UACAGAGGGGGCAAGCGUUAUUCGGAAUUAUUGGGCGUAAAGGGCGCGUAGGCGGCAUGGCAAGUGGAAGGUGAAAUCCCUCGGCUUAACCGAGGAACUGCCCUCCAAACUGCUUUGCUUGAGGCCGGGAGAGGUGAGUGGAAUUCCCAGUGUAGCGGUGAAAUGCGUAGAUAUGGGAGGAACACCAGUGGCGAAGGCGG